rnacentral:rRNA from 1 species
CCUACGGGAGGCAGCAGUGAGGAAUAUUGGUCAAUGGACGAGAGUCUGAACCAGCCAAGUAGCGUGAAGGAUGACUGCCCUAUGGGUUGUAAACUUCUUUUAUAUGGGAAUAAAAUGUUCCACGUGUGGGAUUUUGUAUGUACCAUAUGAAUAAGGAUCGGCUAACUCCGUGCCAGCAGCCGCGGUAAUACGGAGGAUCCGAGCGUUAUCCGGAUUUAUUGGGUUUAAAGGGAGCGUAGGUGGAUUGUUAAGUCAGUUGUGAAAGUUCGCGGCUCAACCGGAAAAUUGCAGUUGAAACUGGCAGUCUUGAGUACAGUAGAGGUGGGCGGAAUGCGUGGUGUAGCGGUGAAAUGCUUAGAUAUCACGAAGAACUCCGAUUGCGAAGGCAGUUCACUGGACUGCAACUGACACUGAGGCUCGAAAGUGUGGGUAUCAAACAGGAUUAGAUACCCCAGUAGUC